AACAUGAUAAAAAUGCUCUGAUCGCAUCUGUGGUAAGAUGCAAGGACUUAUCCGCCAAGGAACACCGGUUCGAGCGAUCCUUACGUAAAACUCCUACUGGACAAGCAACACAAAAUGAGAACCCCGGUGCUCCGCAAGACCUGCAACCCAGUCUAAGACGAGGACUUCAACUUCUAUAGGAUCAGAUUCAACCAAAUCCCUGGGAUCACGUUACACUUACUCAUUAUACUCAGGUUCGACCGUUACAGUCAAAACGACAUUAUCGGCGAGGUAUUUUGAGUUUUGAGUUGACGUCACUCAGAUCAAGACUCAGCAGAUGGCUUUGUCUAGGGAAAUUCAACCCAGAAGCCUUAAGCUAAGUCAAGGAAAUGCAAAUAAAUAAACUUGGCGAAGGCCAGCUCUGUUAUUCCAGCUGUUAACCGUGCAAUAGUCUAUAAUGCCUCUAAAAUAAGCUAUAAUGAAGAGUAAUAUGACAAAGACAAUAAAAAAUAAGUCUUACAUUGCAGAACUUUAAAAUAUGAUACAUAAAAAUACCAAUUUGUAUAUAAAGAAAAUAAAUUAUAAAUGAAUAAACUUCACA